AGAGUUUGAUCAUGGCUCAGAAUCAACGCUGGCGGCGUGCCUAACACAUGCAAGUCGAACGAGAAAGUGGAGCAAUCCAUGAGUAAAGUGGCGACCGGGUGAGUAACACGUGACUAACCUACCUUCGAAUGGGGAAUAACUCCGGGAACCGGGGCUAAUACCGCAUAACACCGCAAGGUCAAAGCAGCAAUGCGUUUGAA
rnacentral:rRNA from 1 species